CCAAAACGGUCCAGACUCCUCCUCAUCCCUGGAUAUAUUUUGCAGUCGGGGAACCGCAACCAUUCUUCAGGAAGGUUCUAUUCCACCCUCCAAGUUUACUCGCCACAAAUCCAAACCCUAAUCCCAAUCUCUCUAUCUCUCUUACAGAGCAAGAACCAUGUCUCACUUUGGUAGGUCUGGCCCUCCUGACAUCGCUGACACUUACUCUCUCCUGGUCCUCAACAUAACCUUUCGUACGAGCGCUGAUGAUCUGUUUCCGCUUUUCGAUAAGUAUGGCAAAGUUGUCGACAUUUUCAUCCCCAGAGACCGAAGGACUGGCGAGUCUAGGGGUUUUGCAUUUGUGCGAUACAAAUAUGCCGAUGAAGCACAGAAAGCGGUUGAAAGGCUCGAUGGAAAAGUUGUUGAUGGUCGAGAGAUAACUGUUCAGUUUGCAAAAUAUGGGCCAAAUGCGGAGAGGAUUCAGAAAGGAAGGAUUACUGAAGCUCUACCAAAAUCAAGGUACAGGUCAAGAAGUCGCAGUCCUCGGAGAAGGUACCGAGAUGACUACAGAGACCGUGACUACAGGAGGAGAAGUCGCAGUAGGAGUUGGGAUAGGUAUGACCGUGACAGAUACCAUGGGAGGGACAGAGACUAUCGUCGACGAAGCAGGAGCCGCAGUGCCAGCCCUGAUUACUAUAGGAGCAGGAGAAGAGGGCGCUAUGAUGAUGAAAGGCGGAGUCGAAGUCGAAGUAGGAGUCCAAUUCGAAGUCGUUCCAUUGAUAGUGUCUCCCCUGCACGGCAUAGCCCUAGUCCUCGUAAGAGUCCUUCCCCACUAAUCAGGAGUCGCAGUGCCACCCCUGAUAGACGUAGUCAUGAUGGACAUUCCCCUACUGCUCGAAGUGUUUCACCACGCCAUCGUCCUGCUGAUUCUCGUACCCCAUCCCCACGAAAUUCAGAUGUUGAUGAUUGAUGUUUCUGGUUGUAUGGAAAUGAUGGAAGCACCCUGAGUUGUGUACUUCUUGCAGCUCUGCUGAUGUCAGGGAUCUUUGAUCAUAAUGCGUUGUUUUAGUAGGUGUCUUGAGUGCUAGUUUUGUUAUGUUCGUGAAAAGAGUGAUUGAGGCUUGGAUAAGAGGAUGUUGAUUUGUAGCUGUGGGUGCUGUUUCUAAUUUGUAGAUGGAUGGUCGUGAUUGUGGUGCUGGUUGCAGCAGUAUGCUGGUUUUAGAAGUAUGAUUGUUUUGGCAGUGAGAGCUGUUUGCAGGGCCAAUAACUUAAUCUGUUUUUCUCCAUACCGAAUAAAUUUGUCCAUGAAAGGAGUUUUUAGUUGCUGUGGUGGCUGUAAGUGGGUCUUUACCUGUGUGUAGCUCAUGCUGCAUAUGAGAUUGAUGUGUAGUUCGUUAUGAACCAGAAUGGUUUGUAAUUGCUGUGAUGGUAGAAGUUGAACUGGUCUUUAUCGGUAGCUGAUGCUGCACAUAAGUGAUUCAUUAACCCGGAUGCGGAUACCAGGCAUGAACUGUGGAUACUAACUAUGAAACCUUGUAUGCUGGGCUCAACUAUAUGCAGCCACAGUAAUGAGAAAUGAUCUUGUCUCACACAAGUUCGAGGCUCUAGCUGUGAAGUGGCAGCUGAUCUGUAUUUUGUUGUAUCGUAAUAAUUUCUUGGGUGACUGAAGCUCUAGCGAAUAACCACCUGCAGCUUGCAGCUUGCUGUUGCUGCUAUUUUAUGAUGGGGUCGGGUAGGCUAUUACCAUUUGGGGCCUUGACAAUGGCUGAUUGGCGUGCUGAUACCGAAAGAUUUGUUUUGUUGUGUAUGUUAUGACUAUAACAUGGAUUUACGGUCUCCGGUCCUAUGUUUCGAAUUAGUCAUCCCUCCAUUAAAAGUGGCAAAAUAUGUACAUUGACAACGCCUGAUCUGACAAACUAUUUUGCAUUUUCUCAUAUAUAUAUAAUGAUCCUUCAUUAAA